UACGUAGGGCGCAAGCGUUGUCCGGAAUUAUUGGGCGUAAAGAGCUCGUAGGCGGUUUGUCGCGUCUGCUGUGAAAACCUAAGGCUCAACCUUGGGCUUGCAGUGGGUACGGGCAGACUAGAGUGCGGUAGGGGUGACUGGAAUUCCUGGUGUAGCGGUGGAAUGCGCAGAUAUCAGGAGGAACACCGAUGGCGAAGGCGGGUCUCUGGGCCGGAUACUGACGCUGGAGGAGCGAAAGCGUGGGGAGCAAACAGG
rnacentral:rRNA from 1 species